GAGCAGACAGGGCCACAACCAAGUGGAGGUCCGAUACGAAAAGGGCGUGGAAGAGCAAAAAAUGAAGCCUUGCACAAAAUUAAUGAAAACAAUUGGCCAGUUCCAGUUGAGUUUGGAGAGGGUUAUAUUAAACCUGUUGGUUUAAAUAACAAAUUAUGGACGGCUGAGGUUGGCAUUAAUACACGAGAUACCGAAGCCCUUCUAAAGUAUAAAACGUGGAGGGAUGUUCCAGAUUUUGAGAAAGAGGUCUGCUAUGACCAUUUGAAGGAGGUCUUUGGAGUGGAUGCAUACGCAAAUGACAUUGAUUUUAAGCGAGUAAAUAUGGGA